rnacentral:rRNA from 1 species
AUUGAACGCUGGCGGCAUGCCUUACACAAGCAAGUCGAACGGUAACAGGUCUUCGGAUGCUGACGAGUGGCGAACGGGUGAGUAAUACAUCGGAACGUGCCCGAUCGUGGGGGAUAACGAAGCGAAAGCUUUGCUAAUACCGCAUAAGAUCUACGGAUGAAAGCAGGGGACCGCAAGGCCUUGCGCGAACGGAGCGGCCGAUGGCAGAUUAGGUAGUUGGUGGGGUAAAAGCUUACCAAGCCGACGAUCUGUAGCUGGUCUGAGAGGACGACCAGCCACACUGGGACUGAGACACGGCCCAGACUCCUACGGGAGGCAGCAGUGGGGAAUUUUGGACAAUUGGCGAAAGCCUGAUCCAGCCAUGCCGCGUGCAGGAUGAAGGCCUUCGGGUUGUAAACUGCUUUUGUACGGAACGAAAAGACUCUUUCUAAUAAAGAGGGUCCAUGACGGUACCGUAAGAAUAAGCACCGGCUAACUACGUGCCAGCCGCCGCCGUAAUAC